GCCCCCGUAGCUUAGUGGUAAAGCAGUAGCCUUUUAAGCUUCUGAUGAGGGUUCGAUUCCUUCCGGGGGCA
rfam:Parcubacteria bacterium DG_74_1 WOR1_52_54_15271, whole genome shotgun sequence.